ensembl:snoRNA
GCAUAUGAUGAAGCAAAUGAGUAUGAAUGAAGUCAUGAUACUGUAAAUGCUUUCUAAAAAUAUG